CCUACGGGCGGCAGCAGUGAGGAAUAUUGGUCAAUGGCCGAGAGUCUGAACCAGCCAAGUCGCGUGAGGGAAGACGGCCCUACGGGUUGUAAACCUCUUUUGUCGGGGAGCAAAGCGAGCCACGUGUGCUUCAUUGCGUGUACCCUAAGAAAAAGCAUCGGCUAACUCCGUGCCAGCAGCCGCGGUAAUACGGAGGAUGCGAGCGUUAUCCGGAUUUAUUGGGUUUAAAGGGUGCGUAGGCGGGUGUGCAAGUCAGCUGUGAAAUUUUGGGGCUCAACCCCAUAAUUGCAGUGGAAACUGACACUCUGGAGGACGGGUGAGGUGGGCGGAAGGCGUGGUGUAGCGGUGAAAUGCUUAGAUAUCACGAAGAACCCCGAGUGCGAAGGCAGCAUAC
rnacentral:rRNA from 1 species